rnacentral:rRNA from 1 species
GUGAAUGCUGGCGGCGUGGAUAAGGCAUGCAAGUCAAGGGGGCCGCAAGGCAACCGGCAGACGAGGUAGUAACAUGUAGGUACUCCCCUCGAAGUCUGGCAUAGCUCGUCGAAAGACGGGGGUAAUUCCAGAUAGUCCCGUAAGGGUAAAGAUUUAUCGCUUCGAGAGAGGCCUGCACAAUAUCAGCUAGUUGGUAAGGGUAACGGCCUUACCAAGGCUACGACGUUUAGGGGGGGUGAGAGCCCGAUCCCACCGAUGGGACUGAGACACGGCCCAUACUCCUACGGGAGGCCGCAGUCGAGAAUCUUCCGCAAUGGGCGAAAGCCUGACGGAGCGACGCCGCGUGAUGGACGAAGUGCUUCGGCACGUAAACAUCUUUUAUGUGGGACGAAAUUAUUGACGGUACCACAGGAAUAAGGGGCUCCUAACUCUGUGCCAGCAGGAGCGGUAAUACAGAGGCCCCAAGCAUUACCCGGAAUCACUGGGCGUAAAGGGUGUCGAGGCGGCUAUGUUAGUCUUCCGUAAAAUCCGUGGGCUCAACCUACGGUCGGCGGAGGGAAACGGCAUAGCUCGAGAGCAGAAAGAGGUGCAUGGAACUCACGGUGUAGGGGUGAAAUCCGUUGAUAUCGUGGGGAACACCAAAGGCGAAGGCAGUGCACUGGUCUGUUUCUGACGCUCACACACGAAAGCCAGGGUAGCGAACGGGAUUAGAUACCCCGGUAGUCCUGGCCCUAAACGCUGCUCGCUCGUUCUACGGAGUAUCGACCCUCUGUGGGACUAAGCUAACGCGGUAAGCGAGCCGCCUGGGUAGUACGAUCGCAAGAUUAAAACUCAAAGGAAUAGACGGGGACUCGCACAAGCAGUGGAUCAUGUGGCUUAAUUCGUCGACAAGCGAAGAACCUUACCCGGGCUAGAAAUGCAGCUGCACGCUCACCGAAAGGAGAGAAGCUUUCGAAGGUGCUGCACAGGUGAUGCAUGGUCGUCGUCAGUUCGUGGCUUGAGCUGUUCCCUUCAGUGGGGUAACGAACGCAACCCUCGUUGUCUGUUAUUUAUGUCAGGCGAGACUGCCCCCUCACGGGGGAGGAAGGUGAGGAUGACGCCAGAUCAGCAUGUCCCUCUGAUGCCCGGGGCCGCACCAACGUGAUACAAUGGUUCAUACAAUAGGACGCAAUACCGCAAGGUGGAGCAAAUCCCAAAAAUGAACCCCAGUACGGAUAGAGGUCUGCAACCGACCCUCUUGAAGCCGGAAUUGCUAGUAAUCGUGGGUCAGCCAUACCACGGUGAAUACGUUCUCGAGUCUUGUACUCACCGCCCGUCAACUCAAGGAAGCUGGAGGUACCCGACAUUCUCUCUUGUAGAGGACUACGGUAAAUUCAGUGACAGGGAGU